rnacentral:rRNA from 1 species
UACAGAGGUGGCAAGCGUUGUUCGGAAUUACUGGGCGUAAAGGGCGCGUAGGCGGCCCGUCAAGUCCCGUGUGAAAUCCCUCGGCUUAACCGGGGAACUGCGUCUGAUACUGGAUGGCUUGAGUUUGGGAGAGGGACGCGGAAUUCCAGGUGUAGCGGUGAAAUGCGUAGAUAUCUGGAGGAACACCGGUGGCGAAGGCGGCGUCCUGGACCAACACUGACACUGAGGAGCGAAAGCCAGGGGAGCAAACGGG